AUUGAACGCUGGCGGCAGGCCUAACACAUGCAAGUCGAGCGAGCGGCGGACGGGUGAGUAAUGUAUGGGGACUGCCCGAUAGAGGGGGAUAACUACUGGAAACGGUAGCUAAUACCGCAUACUAUCGGAUAACCCAUAUGGGAUUAGCUAGUAGGUGGGGUAAUGGCUCACCGAGGCGACGAUCCCUAGCUGGUCUGAGAGGAUGAUCAGCCACCCGGGGACUUAGACACGGCCCAGACUCCUACGGAGGCAGCAGUGGGGAAUAUUGCAACAUUGGGGCAAUCCUUAUUGCGCCAUGCCGCGUGUAUUAAGAAGGCCCUAGGGUUGGAAAGUACUUUCAGUCGGGAGGCGUUACCGACAGAAGAAGCACCGGCUAACUCCGUGCCAGCAGCCGCGGUAAUUC
rnacentral:rRNA from 1 species